rnacentral:rRNA from 1 species
CCUACGGGUGGCUGCAGUGGGGAAUAUUGGACAAUGGGGGCAACCCUGAUCCAGCCAUGCCGCGUGUGUGAAGAAGGCCCUCGGGUUGUAAAGCACUUUCAGUGAGGAAGAACGCCUGGUGGUUAAUACCCAUCAGGAAAGACAUCACUCACAGAAGAAGCGCCGGCUAACUCCGUGCCAGCAGCCGCGGUAAUACGGAGGGUGCGAGCGUUAAUCGGAAUUACUGGGCGUAAAGCGCGCGUAGGUGGCUUGAUAAGCCGGUUGUGAAAGCCCCGGGCUCAACCUGGGAACGGCAUCCGGAACUGUCAAGCUAGAGUGCAGGAGAGGAAGGUAGAAUUCCCGGUGUAGCGGUGAAAUGCGUAGAGAUCGGGAGGAAUACCAGUGGCGAAGGCGGCCUUCUGGACUGACACUGACACUGAGGUGCGAAAGCGUGGGUAGCAACCAGGAUUAGAUACCCCUGUAGUC